rnacentral:lncRNA from 13 species
ACAGAGAACGCGAGAACAGUGUGAUACGACCACAAGUAGCGACUCGUCCGUAAAACGGAUAGAAAAAGUUAGAAAGGGCAUGCGCACUAUUGGACAUAUCGCGACACGCGACCGCACGCGACCGGCACAACCGGCAUUGUUUUUGAGAGUCCGUUUGGAGCUGCUUAUGUGUUCGCCCGUUACAUAUAUAUUUUUGAACCUACAUCACAAUCGGCCGUCGGGACGACUAGCAUCGUUAAUCUUGAAAGCUAGAACUAUACUGAAAGCUAGAACUAUAUUGAUUUAAUGGCCAAAUCGUCUCCGCCUUGACUAGUCCAGGCAAAGGAAGAAGAAGGCAUUGUUUCAGUUUGAUGAAAAAUCUGGGGCAAAUUUGGCCGUUGUCAGCACUAAAUGGUUGACGCCACUCAAGAAAGAAGUUUUCUGGCCACCAUAUAAAAACGUAUCAAGUUUUAACAAAGCGUUAAAAAAACAUGAAGAUGUUAAUGAAAAUGAAUGGACAUUAUACAAUGUGCAACGAAUUUUUUAUGAAACAGACAACAUAGAAGUAGC